rnacentral:rRNA from 1 species
AGAUUGAACUGAAGAGUUUGAUCCUGGCUCAGAUUGAACGCUGGCGGAAUGCUUUACACAUGCAAGUCGAACGGCAGCACGGGUGCUUGCACCUGGUGGCGAGUGGCGAACGGGUGAGUAAUGCGUCGGAACGUACCGAGUAAUGGGGGAUAACGCGGCGAAAGUCGCGCUAAUACCGCAUACGCCCUGAGGGGGAAAGUGGGGGACCGCAAGGCCUCACGUUAUUCGAGCGGCCGACGUCUGAUUAGCUAGUUGGUGAGGUAAUGGCUCACCAAGGCGACGAUCAGUAGCGGGUCUGAGAGGAUGAUCCGCCACACUGGGACUGAGACACGGCCCAGACUCCUACGGGAGGCAGCAGUGGGGAAUUUUGGACAAUGGGGGAAACCCUGAUCCAGCCAUUCCGCGUGAGUGAAGAAGGCCUUCGGGUUGUAAAGCUCUUUCAGCUGGAACGAAACGGUACGCGCUAACAUCGUGUGCUAAUGACGGUACCAGCAGAAGAAGCACCGGCUAACUACGUGCCAGCAGCCGCGGUAAUACGUAGGGUGCGAGCGUUAAUCGGAAUUACUGGGCGUAAAGCGUGCGCAGGCGGAUUAUUAAGCAAGACGUGAAAGCUCCGGGCUUAACCUGGGAAUG